CGUUCAACUCUUAUCCGCUCCAUGCAUCCACUGGAGCUCUGCCAUCCGUCUGCUCGCCGAGCGCACCUGUUGGCACGGAUCCUAGAAGCAGGCCUCCAAGCUCUGGGAGCAAGUCGCCCGAUAGCAGCAGGUGAGCACAGGAGCACGUCUGGCAGCAGUAGAUCAUCCUGGCCAUGGGCGCAGAUCCUCAUCUUAUUCUCCCUGGCUCCCGGGAUGCACCCGUGGCCGUGGUGGACAGCAGCUUCGCGCCGCAGCCUUUCCUGACCAGCUUCACGGUGGCAGCAAGGCGUAGCUUCGUGUUUGAUUUGAUUUGAUUGAGAGGUUGAUGGAGGAGCGGCAAAGCAAAGGAGAGAGGAGAUCAGGUGCUCAUUGAGGAUGGACGGCGCAUGGUCGAGCUGUUGCUGCUUCUGGUGGUGGUCAUGUGACGCGGCGGUGGAGCACACCGGUGUACUGGCAGCCGAGCCGACUCGAAAUCGAGCUGGCUCGUUUCUUUUUUUUGGCUCGUGAUCCACUUAUCGCUGCCGGUUCGUAGCUCUAACCGACAGUGAUAAUGAGUUUUUGUGCUGGUUCUACAAUCGGCAAUGAUACUAGCUGAGUAUCAGUGCCGAGUAAAGAGUGCCGGUUGAAAAACCAGCACUGAAGCCAUUUUUCAACCGGCACUCUUAUGCCUUUUUGCAGUAGUGUUAUCUUUAAAAAAUUUCACAAAUUCUACAACAAUAAAGACUUUCCUUGUUCAUCUAAGUUGGAACAACUAUUAUACCUUGGGUA